rnacentral:lncRNA from 1 species
AAUUUAAGGGCGCGUUUGGUUCGCACUAUGAAAGAUUACUUGGAGUAAAAUGAUAUUCGAGAAUCUUAUUCCUAUUCAUCCUAUUACUAGGAAUAUAGUAUUUCGGUGUUUUGUUCGUAUGGUCAUAUUAUUUGGUCAAUGUUAUUUAAGAUUACGAAAAAUAUAUAAUUAAUUAAUUUAUUUUUUUAAUUAUUUUUAAAUAAUACUAUAAAAAAAUUUCAACAUUUUUUAGAAAAAAGAGAGAGAGAAUAUAGAUUAGAAAAAGAGAGUAUAAUUAAAGAAAUAGGAAGAGAAAUAGAGUCGAGAUUAGAGAGAAUGAGAGGGUUAAGAUUUUAGAAAAAGAGGGGGAGAAAUAGCUUAAUUUAGAGAGAGAAAAAGAGUUGAAGUUUAGAGAGAAAAAGAUAAGUUUAGAGAGAGAUAUGAGGUUAGAGUGUAAAGAAAAAUAAUACCAACUAGCCGGCGGGUAGGAAGAAAGAAAGAGAUUAGACAUAUUAUAAUUACCCUAAUCCAUUAAUAUAAGGAUACCCACCCUCCCUCAAAGAAAUGAGAUUAGUACUUUGGGAUGCAUCUCAUUCCCAAGUAAAUCUAAUAUUACCAACUAGAUUACUUGGUGCGUUUAGCCAAACACCGUCAUAUUUUUUUAUUCUUAUUGGAUUACUAGGAAUCUUAAAAAGAUAGCGCGAACCAAACGCACCCUAAGUGUUAUAACAAAUGGCAUUUCUUGGAAUCGUAUAGAAUUGGAAUAAAUUCCGUCUUUGUAAUUUCAUUCAUGUUUCUUAACAAUUCACAUGCUUUAUUGAAUAACAGACUUUGAUGGGUGGCGGCGGUUCAUUCUCUUCUGGUGGUCCUGGGAAGGGAAUGCAUUCUCGACUAUGUGAGUUGCUACUUCAUACUUUUCUUUGGAAGAUCCUUAACUUUCCUGGUGCUCUUUAUAUUGUUUUGUGUUACUCAAGAUUUUUCUAAAUAUGUCUACUGUUAUAGAUUUGGGGCUUUGUGAGAAUUAAUGAUGAAAAUUAUUAUGUAAAAUGAUUUUAUUUUUUUUAAUCUGAAGCAAGGAAGCAUUUUUAUCUACAUUUUUUCUCACUUUUUUAUGAGCGUCAUCCGAUUAGAAGAGUGAAUUUAUGUGGUACUCAAUUAGGCAGGGUUUUUAGCUGGUUGUUCGAACAUAGUACUUUUUCUCUAAUUUGAAUGGCAGUUCAUUUAGUCUGUUUCUUCCACUUUACAAAGUUAUCAUUUGUCUGCGGGGCAAUGUUUUCUUGUUGAAAUGACUUAAAGAGCACAUUUAUUGAUGCACAGAUCUUCGCGUCCUGAAUAUGUAUCAGCAAGUGCGAUCCUUCUCAGCAUUUAGUAGCGUCUACAACGACAGUGGCCUCUUUGGCAUCAUUUCAACAACCGUAAGACAUUAUUAUGUUAUAUCUAGUCUUAUUGAAAUUUUUGUUGUUUGGCCUCUUCGACCGUCUUACAAAUUUAGUCAGUAUAGGAAGCAAAAAAUUCCAAAAAAAAGACUCUUCUUCCUGAACCUGAAAAGGCAAAAGAAAAAAUGAAAAUGGUCUAUUAUAGUUUUACCACAAGGAAAUAAAGUUAAAAACACUUCCUAAGAUUUUUUUUGCAUCCUGAAUGAUCAAGUUUAGUUGUUAUGGUGGCAUUACUCGUAACACUGAAGUGAAUUGGUGACACAGAGUAAAUUUGUUCAAACUAAAGUAUUAAUUCAUGUUGAUUUACGUGGUGUGAUGGUCGAUAAAAUGGGCAUAAUAGUCUAUACCAAUGGGCAGUAAACUUUAGAUUGCUUUUGAACUUUAGUUUUGUAAACUUUUUUUUUAACUUCGAAGGAAUAUGCAGGGAUCAAACUUUGUUGAAAAAGCAGUUGAUGUUGCGACUAAUGAAUUGCUUGCUAUAGCAACCCCCGGUCAGGGUAGGAUACCGACGUACUUAAACUAUUCUCUCUCUCUCUUGCUACCUGUAGACAUCUUUAUGCAGAUAACUCAGUCCGGUCUAAACUUUUACAUGUUUUCAGUGACUGAACUUGAACUUACUUGGGCGAAAAAUGCAACUAAAUCAGCUGUUUUCAUGAACCUAGAAUCCAGGGUAAUAAAAAGCUGCUCCUACCCAUACUUGGUUUUUCUUGGUUUUCAUAGUAAACUUCUUUUGUUGUUUUUCUUUAAUUUUCUUUCAGGCAAUCGUUACAGAGGACAUAGGAAGGCAAAUUUUGACUUACAGGUGCAGGUAAAUUUGCUCUUAUCUCUUCUUUUGGACAUUUUUGGAGAAACUCCAGUAUUUAGGCUCAUCAUGUUCAUCAGUAUUAUUUAUUUAAUUUUUCAGGAAACCAGUCGAGCAUUUUCUAAAAUGUAUAGAUGAACUAAAUCUCAACGACCUCACUACAAUGGCUCAAAGAAUUUUAUCUUCACCGCUCACAAUGGCAUGCUGGGGAGAUGGUUAGCUUCUCUGUUCCUCCUUUUUUCUUUUUCUUUUUUUUUAGGUAUUCUCUUGCCGUCUUCAAACAUUUUAAUUCUAUAUUCAGUUUAUUGGUGAAACAAUCACUGAUGUUCACUAACAAAACUUUUGCGCUUUACGCAGUUGACUCUUUUCCUCCUAUGAUUCUAUCGGUUGGCGUUUUCAGUCGUAGCACUGGUAAAAGGCGAAGUUAAUUUGAUAAGUAUUGGGAGUUGUGUGGAAAAUUCAUCUGCUAGUAAUUGCAGUGUUAUAGAAAAUAUUUCGCGAUGGCUAUCUCUGACAUUCAUUGGCUUCAAAAGUGGAAGAGCUUCAGCAUUCGAGUAAAGGAGGUGUAGAUGCUGCUAACAGCGAUCAAAUGAUUUAUAUCUCUCAUCUGAGAAAGUCGGCAGUGUGCAGCAAUGAACUGAUGAAAAUUUUGUUUCUUCCUUUUUUUUCCAACUAACUUUAAUUCCAUUAAAAACUCCAAGUUGCUGUUGUUUGUUCUUUUCAAAUUUGCCUGAUUAGCUUUUUGUGUUUUGUAUUGCCCAAACAAUUUCUCUGUUUAUAGUAAAUUCUUGCUCUGUUUCAAAGUUUUGAGGUAUGGAAUGAUUACUACUCGUGACAGUAGGGAGCCUGCUAAACUGGUGGAUGAAUUGCAAAAGUGCAUAGUUCUUUUUGUUUACAUGACGAGUAAAAGUCUCAUGCUCUGCAACGAGAAUAAUGCUAUACUAGCGUAGUAAUUCGCGCGAUGCAACGGAUAAAUAAUUAAAAAUAAAAUAGAAAGUGUCGAUAAAAAAAAAUGAAACGGUCAUGAAAAAAAUGAUGAUAAGAGAUAAGAUUCAUCCCAGUGAUGAAUAAAGAUAACAGCUGAAGAAAGAGGAAGAGGAAGGAGUUGAGUUAUAAAGAUAACAGCUGAAGAAAGAGGAAGAGGAAGGAGUUGAGUUGGUUUGAGGUGGAGUCCAUGCACGACAAUGAAGAAAAAAAAUUUUGUGGCAAUUUUAGGAGAAAUAAUAUAUAGAUAUAGAUUAGUCCUUACGUAAAGAGUUAGAUGAUUGGUAUUUAAGGUUUAAAAUUCAAUGUCUGAUUGUUUUAAGUUUUUAUCAGAGUUUCUCUAUUAAGAAAGGAAUAAAGUGAAUAGAAUAUUAUUGUUCUCUUUCUCUCUUAAAAAGCAGAAAAAAAUUACUACAUUAGUGUAAUAAUUGAAAAUAUUGAUGAAAGGGAAAGGGUAAGGAGAGCAGAGGCAUUUGCUUCACAAAGAGCACUUCCCUGUCUAUCAAAAAGAGCGAUGACAUAAUUGUAUCUUCCUUUUAAUUUAGACUAUUUAAGAAAGAAAUAUAGAAAAAUUAGUUCCAUGUUGCGAAGUCCAAAAAGAUUGGCGCAUGAAAAAUUGUUCAAAUGAUAUCAGAAUUAAAAACUAAUAUUCAAGUAAUUACAAUACUAAAAAAUUAACUCAGAAUUAAGAGUCCAAAAACGACUCAGGAUAAAGAGUCAUGUGCCCUAUUAAAAGUAAAAAAGUUACCCACCAAAAAUAUUCGCUUGCUCUGAAACUUUUGACCUUUCUACUAUGUGUUGUAUUACUUCAAGGCCUAGUUGCCACACCAUACUGCCGAUAGUGGUAGUAUGCUAUCUUUUUUUAUUAAUAUUAUAUAUAUGUGUGUGUGUGUAGCAAGAGAGCCUAACUGCAUGAAACUUUUCACUGACAAGUUAAAAGGGAGCACCAAAGUAGUACGACCAGGGAAAGCUCGGGAUUGAAGGUUGUUGAGCCAUAUGGCUCGGCGGGAGGAGUGGAAGUUGUUGAAUCAUAUGGCCGGGGAGUUGUUGUGCAAAAAUAUUUUCUGCAGCGGUCAGAUUCGCUGCCCCGCAAAAAACUACUUCUAGCGGGUUGACCCCGCAAAAAACUACUUCCAGCGGGCCUUGUACUAGUGCUGCAGCAGCAGGACGCACUGUAGGAUCUUCCAACUCCAAAUCGUAAAUCACACCCAUAUGCUUCUCCAUGCGCGUGUCGUCCGCAGCGAAACAGACCUGUUUCAUUCUCAUAAAGAUCUGCAGCAUCAGUAGCGAAUCCGAUCCGGCCUGGUGCCUCCUCCCAACCAUCCGCUCCACCCGCAAUUGCGUAGCCACGCUCUCGAGCCCUCCGUAAAGUCCGUCGCAGAAUUUUAUCAUAUGCUUCAUAUCGUAAGCGCGCGGUCCGAAGAAGUGCUUGAGCACUAAGAGGAAGUCUUUCAUCUGCAUUGGUAGGUCGAUGCCGGUGAGAGUUUUCAUAACGUACGCGAAGUCGGAAGAGCCAUGAAAAGUUAUCCACGUCACGUUCGGGUUGUAGAGGAGGCCUGACGACAGGAUUAGCCUUCUGAAGUGGCGGAAGUCGACACCGUGGGUGCGGAGCGCCGCAAAGUUUACUCCUUGAUCUUGUAGCAUCUUUAUGGAGUCGGCAUUGUGAGCGUGGCAUCGUAGGUCGAAGUUUCGGAAGUUGAACUCCCAGAUGAAGUGCGCGGCACCGUUCGUGCCCAGGUCAGGAAGUCGGCCGUCGGCGUCGGAGAGGGUGAGACCCACCUGGAUGAGGCAAAGGUUGUCGACGUUCAUCUUCAGUAGAGCGUACCUCUUCUCCGACGAGAGACACCAGGGGUUGGUCUUGGACUUGAAGACGACACCAGGAAACUCCGUAUCGAUCGCGACGAAAGGGUACUGCUUAACAAGAGAGCGGAUGAGGGAGAACUCAUAGUCGAUAUUCCCUGCCCAAACCGACCGAACAUGCACGUUCAAAGAAUUCUUCAUCAUCUUCUUCCUAGCCUUAGUAUCUUCUCUCUCACGAAGAAACAUGUCUAUGUAUGUAGGUUUGGCGUAAAUAUAUAAUACAACAAUGCCUACUCUGACUAGGAUUUGAUUAAUUUUUCGUGUAUUCUAAAACUGAGUAGAAUUAUGAUAAUUUUAGAUUUCGGAAGCAUUUACGAUCACAUCGAUCACUCUUAAAUCCUAAUUCCAAUUGAACUACCGUCCCUAUAUUUAAGAGUCCUGAAAUUCUAAUGCGUAGAUAUAAGCCUAAACGGAACAGGCGGAAGCUCCACCAACCCGAAUCCAUUUGCAUCCCUAGGCUGAGCUGAGUUGGAGGUCUACGAGACGCAUUCGUACACCCGGUGCUGGCAACAAUUUCUCCCUUUUCUAUCCAUUACUCCAGUAACUCCAAAAAGCACUCCCCCACUCUCCCUCUCUCUCUCUCUCUCUCUCUAACACACACGCACACACACUCUCUCUCUCUCUCUCUAUCGAUAGAGAGAGAGAAAUGGCGAUGACCUCCUCUGGAGGAGGAAACGCGCCCGAUGCGAAGGUGGAGACGAUCUCGCGCUUGGCGCAGUGGCGGAUCGAGAGCUUCGGCCCCUCCUCGUACCGACGAUCCGACCCCUUCAAGCUCGGAUUCUGGAACUGGUCUCGUUCGAUUCUCUUCUUUUCCCCAAUUUUUUAGGGUUUAUGUUUUAUUUUGUGUUUAUGUUUUUUUUGGGUUCUUUUCGACUAAAUUAUUGAAAUAUUAGGGUUUAAUUGCAUAUAUGCAUCUCUAGAAAGUGAUAAAUUCGCAUAUUUAUUCCUAUAUAAUGUUUUAGUUAUCGUCAUAUAUAUAUAUAUAUAUAUAUAUAUAUAUAUAUCCCUUCUUACUUGCAUAAUUUGCAAAUAUAUAUCCCUUUCUCGUUAGUCGACCUGUUAAAUUUGUGAUAAAUAUGUUUUUGUUCUAAGUUUUAGAAAAACUUUUUUUUUUGAGGGCAUUGCAUAAUUUGCAAAUAUAUCCCUUUUCGUUAGUUGCCCUGUUAAAUUUGUGAUAAAUAUUUUUUUUGUUCUAAUUUUUAAAAAUUUUUAAACAAACUUUUUUUUUUUUUGGGAGGAUAUAACAGUUUAAAUGGUAAAAAGUUAAGGGGUAGUCAACCUAUAGUAACAACCUAGUUAAGGGCCCGCGCAAUGCGACGGGAAGGUAUUAUUACAAUAUACAGUUUCAGCUACUAUAUUUUUAUGAGUAUAGACCCUUUUCUACUCAUAAAUUUUCGGAUUAAUUUUACGAUAAAUUCCAGAUUUAAAUUCAAAAUUUUGAAAUUUUAUUUUGGGGACUAAAGUGAAAAAUAAAGUUUAGAGACCAAAAUUGACACGCAAAAAAAAUCUAAAUAGACGAUGGUCCGAUAAUAUCAUUAAAAUCUAAAAUCUCUUUUAACAGUGCUAUUUUUAUUGCGAUGAAAUCAAGAGAUUUAAAAUUUUGAUUGCAAAAAAGUAUUAAGGACCAAAAAAAAACAGUGAAAAGCUAGGGACCAAUGUGCGGUUAAUUCUUAAAAAAAUUGCUGUGGGCCCCACAGCCCCCCAAAAUAAGGGGAGGCCUUCAUUAGGAUUCACAAUUUAUCUUUAUAUAAUAAUAAUAAAGAUUAUAUCAAGAGAUUUGAAAAUUUGAUUGUAAAAAAAAUAAGAUUAGGGACAAAAAUAAAAAUAGUGGAAAGCUUUGGGAUCAAUGUGCAUUUAAUUUUAAAAAAUUUGUAUGUGAGUGGGCCCCACACCCCCCCAAAAUAAGGGGAGGGCUCCAAAAGGUUGCCCUUUCAUGUAUGGAACUAGACCAAAUAAAUAGGGGAAAAUUAACAGAAUACUUUAGGUUAGCAGCAAUCCACCCUCAAAAUCGCUUCAUAACCAUUAGCCAUACACGUGCAAACCCGCAAAAAUUUUAAUCAGAGCAAACACAACAGCAUGCACCAAAAAGGAUAUAAGAGUAAGCACAGAAGGAACACAAAAAAAUACAAACAAAAAAAUCAUUAAGUAUCUGAACUUUUUACCUAUCAAUUAGCUGCAACGCUCAGAAAACCGGCAAUCAAAAGCACCAAAAGCCAAGAACAAUAGAGCAAAAACUUUUAAAAACAACGAGAAUUAGCUAAGUGCACACAAAAGGAACAUCAAUUGCUUUAGUAUUUAUGACUAGCAAAGCCAAAAGCCCUAAAGAGAUGAAAAGCAAGCAGAGUACAGUGAGAGAGGGUAAAUCAGGGAGAGGGAGUACGGAGGUCAGAGGACCAAGGAUGAGAUCGGCGGCAGGACACCGAACCUCGCCGGCCAGACGACGCAUUAAAUAUUAAAUAAUGGCGCAUGAAAGCCCCACAGGAAAGCACACAUAGAAGAGAGAGAGCGAGCGAGCGAGCGAGAGAGAGAGAGAGAGAGAGAGUGCCAUGCCAUACGGAAGCCCGACUGCGAUCACGGAGGGCAACAGACCACCGCAGUGUAGGCGGAGACAAAAGAGAGUGUAAACCGCCACAACAGAUAGGACAUCACAAUGGGGAAAAAAGAUGCCGCUGUAUAUACCCCUCAUUAAUGCUCUUUAAUGAUAAUGAACACCAAACAGGCCCCAUGACCCCAAACCACAGGGAGAAUUUACGCUGAAAUGUACAGGAUAGCACGUGCGGUGGAGGAAAUUAUCUGGCCCACACCGCCAACGGCAUGGCUGCAGGACUCGCUGUCCUACCAUCUGUACGACAAACCGGACGGGAUGGACGGGCAUACGUGGGAGAGAGAGUGAGAGAGAACUCCACACCGUACAGAGCGAGGGCUGUGUGCGAGGGAGAAAGUGAACCACCUCAGCGAAGACGGAGAGGAAGAAGUGAGAGCGAGGGGGGAACUCCGCGUUGUACGAAAAGAUGGCUGCGUUCCAAAGGGAGAAGGUGGACCACUACAGUGAAAGGCGGAUGAAGAGGAAAAAGUCGCAGAGCCCCCAUUCGGUCACCGCGCGGUCCCCACAGCACCGCCAAACGCGGGGCGGGCUUCUUUAGGGCUUCGCCUUGAUGAGUUUAUAUUGAUUUGCAGAUUUUUGAAGUUUUAGAAGAAUAUAUUUGGUAGUUAAAACUUUACAGGAAUAAAAUCCACAAUUUUAAAACUUUGUAGGGACACAUGUGAAAUAACCCCGACAAAAAUUAUAUGUAAUAAUAUAUGAAACUUACGUGACCUAUGAACUAUUUUGAUUAGUCAAACUGUAAAACUUUUUAGUUUUUUGAAAUUUUAUAUGUAUCCUGCAAAAUUGCAGAUUUAUUCCUGCAAAAUUCUAGUUAUCAAAUAUAUUCCUUUACCGUUUGGUUCAGGGUUAAGGAAAAACUAGUUAUUCCAGGGAUAGGGUUAAGUUUAGGGUUAAGGUGGGGUUAAAGUAUUUUUGUGUUUGGUUGGAGGUUAGAGUUAAGCCAGGAUAGUGAAAAAUAGUGUUUGGUUGGAGUAGGUAGGAUAAGAAGGAUAGUGGGUUAUUAUGAAUAGAAAAUAAUGUUUGGUUGGGGUUUGGUGGGGUUAAGUCGGGUUAGCUAACCCGGGAUAAACCAUUUGAGGUGGGGUUAGCUGGGGUUAGCUAACCCCACCCAUUUUUAGAAGUGUUUGGGGAUAAAAUGGGGGUUAAGGGGUUAUUCCACCCCUUAACCCCCAACCAAAUGGAGAAGCUUCAAAAUAUGCAAACUUAUCCUUCCAAGUUGAUGAUUAUUAGUUGACUGUUAAAUUUUCACCUUUAAGACAGUUAUAAUCUUGUAUAAAAGUAUACUUCAUGAUGUGGAAUUUAAAAUUAAAAUAUUAAAAAUGAUAAAUGAUGUUAAAUAUAAUUUAAAAGGUAUUUAUUGAAGGGUAGAAUGGUCAUUUUAUAGAAAAAAGGUCAAUUUUAACUAUUCAAUCAAUAGAUAUUAGAGAAGAAUAUUUUUGCAAAUUAUGCAACUCUGAAGAGAUAUAUUUGAUAACUAAAAACAUGCAAUUUCAUUGCUUUGUAAGGAUAUAAAAGCAGUUAACUCUACAUUUUACUGCUCAGGAUUGCUGGUCCAUUCGUUAGCUCCUAUUUGUGGUACACAAUUUUGUGGAAUGUAGGUAGUGGUUAUGACCGAUUCGAUACAAAAGAAGGAAUUGUGUGCAUUUUUCGUUGGGUAUUUCCUGGAAUAAAUCAUCAAAUCUUCCUUCGCUUCCUUUUGAUUUUAGUUAUUUGAUGACUCUUUUGUUACAAAAUUUGGAUACAUUGCUUGUUGUACUAAACGAUUCAUUCAAAUUUUAAACGGAAAAAACCAUCAAAUGACUUGAAUCAAAUAGUAAAAUCAAAAUUUUGAAUGUUGUGUAGUCUAAUUAAAAUGGGUUUGCUUAAUAUACUUUCACCUUAAAAAUAUACUUCCUGUUUAGCUCAUUCCCAUGUCUCAGUAAUAAUAUGAAAAGGGAAAAAUAUGCCUGACCCUCUCGAAGUUUGGGUCGGCUACCCUUAGCUAUCCAAAGUUAAAAAAAAAAUAAUUAGAAGAAAUUUUAAAAAAAUUAGCCAGAAGAAAUUAAUUUAGUUUAAUUAACUACUCAGACUCAGUUUCUGAGAAGUUCUGUAACUAAUUAUAGUUUGUGAUAGUCAUUUAUGCCCUAAAAGUUUUAUGUUUAUUUGUUUUUCAUUUGAAUGCCUACGCGAAUUUAGAGGUAUUUGAAUUAUUUGAUCUUUAUAUAACUGUUAAUUAUGAUGAAAAACUAAUAACAUUAGUGUCAAGUGCUAACUAAAAUGAGUCGGAAGCUAACUUAAGCUUUUUUUUUUGGAUAAAAAUGUAUGGAGACCCCUUUAAGUUAGGCCGUUUUGAAAUGGCCCUCUCAGCUUCAUUUAUUUUGAUUGACGCUCUUUACUUUUUGAUUUUUUGCAAUUGAGUGAUUUUAGUCAAUUAAAGUUGUGAUUUUCUUAAAUUUAUUGGUGAUGCUAUCAAAUUGUGUUUAUAAUCACUUUUAAACAAAUACAAUUGAAACAAUUAAAGAAAAUAGUAAAUGGAGCCAUCAAAUUUAACAAAAUUUCCAACCUAGUUAACUCAAAAAAUUCAAAUCAAAACAACAAGACGUCAAAGGGUGAUCGAUCAAAGAAAUGCACAUUUUUUAUCUUCUACUAAAGAAUUUUUAAUGUUUGGUUGAGUAAGUUUAAUCCGACUGAAAUUUCAGGGGAACCAGCAUAUUCUUUUACCUAGAAAAGAUUGCACCAAUUCAUCUUUGCAUUUUAUCAGUAUCUCAAACAGUUUUAAAAAAUUGGAAUGAUUGUUGUAUUCGGAAGCAAAACUUUAUGAAAAUGAGCUGCCGUACAAUUGUGGGUAUAUUUAAUGCAGCAGAAAAGCAUAAAUUCAAUUAAUUUCGGUAGCUCUAGUAAAGGAGAUAUUUUGUUUUAGUUUUGGAACUAUUACAUUGGUUGUAAUCUGAAAAGACGUUUAUGAAUAGAGCCGAUGUGAUAUACCAUCUCAAGUUUUCGAGUCUAUUUUAGACAAUGGUAAAGUGCAGGGUUGUAAUUGGUGUAAUUUUUUAUGCCAGUGGUAAUUAAGACACAUGCUAAAGUGGAAGAAAUUAACCCUGUUUUCUCAUUUUGUGAACCGGUUCAGGUAUUUAUCGGUCGAGAAGAACAAAUACAUGUACAUCCGCCUUUUUCCCGAACCAUGCCGGAUUUCUAAGGACCAGCCACCAAUCGCCCGGUUUGUGCUCCGUGUCUCAAGCCCUGGUCCUGGACGCCGCCCUUACAUCUCCCCAGGUAUAGGUUGGUUCCCUUUUCGGUGUGUUUAGUGUAUCGUUUUGAUUCUUCGCCUUAUGUUUGUGCCUCUAUUAGCGAAAUUUGUGGUAUUUAGGUUUUUUGAGUGUGUUAAACUCUGUAGUACAUUUUUAUUGGUUGCUGUGAUGUAGAUUUUAUUUGUAUUUACUCACUUUAACUGUCGUAUAAUUUAAAAUUUGCUAAUUUUGGAUAGGUACUGAUUGUAUCAGGCCACUGGGUGCUAAUUUCGUUUCUAUUUAUUGAUAUAUUCUAAGUACUUAAAUGUAUUUUGUGAACAGAUAUUUAGAUGUAGAAUGUAAAGCAACUAAGAUGAUUAAGAUUACAUUAGUUAUUAGUUGUAAAUGUAGAUACUUGUAUUUGAUCUAUUAGUAAAAAGAAAAUUUGUGAACUCCACUCGUAGGUAAAGCGUUAUAGUAUCAUUUUAAAUCAAGGACCUGUUUGGCCUGGCUAUGGAUUUUACUGCUUCUUCAGUAAGUGUUGUUUGAGAAGCUCUGUUAGGAGAACGCUAACGUAUAUUUUAUUAAAAUCUUCCAAUCUAUGUGCAGUACAGAAAGAAGCACCAAAUUCGUUCUUUUACUUUUAGGGUUCAGAAACUCAUUUCAAUUUCUUGUCGCAUUUGAAGCUCUAAACACCUUUUUGCCAAACAUUCUGCUAGAGGUGGCUUUAGCCCAAAGCAUAAAAGAAGCGGAAGCUGUGCCAAAUAGGCACAAAAUAGCUUUCUUGUUUGAUUUUACUAUUACACUCAAGAUUUGUUGAAUCAUGAUCAAUGAAUAUUAAUGUGUGAGGUAGCUUCAUUAUGUUUCUUCAAAGUUCCCCAUUUUCAUAUAUAUUGAAUUAGAUUAGACUCUUGAAAGAUGCAAGUCUCCACUAUGAUUUUAAAAUGUUUCUUGGGCACGUAAAUUACAUAUCUCAUCCCAGGAUCUUCUCUUUAUUGGUUGAAUCAGAUUGUUGAAGAUACUUAAUCAACAUCCUUCGUGUUUACCAACAAUUCAAUGAUAAAUCAUGUUGCGAGCUGGAAGUUUAGGAUAUAAUUGAAACCAGAACUUAUGGCAAACGACAAAAGAUAGAAGUGGCAAGUUGACUCGUCAUGUUCUCGUGGUUUGAAGUCAAAACUUCAUGUAAUCUUGGUCUUUUUGUUUGAUAAAAGAUGUUAAUUUUGGCACUUCAAUUUUAAGUUUCUGAUUUUCAUCAUAUCAUUCGUUUCCAAUUACCCCUCAUAAUCAAAAUAGAGACUAUCAUCUUGCGGUGAAGAUUGAAUUACAUCUCUCAGGGAAGUAGUAAUGUACUUUAUCAGCAGUACUAAAUUUUAAUCUCGACCACCUAUUGUUGUGACAUGCGAAAUGUUUGUUAUAUUUAACUACAACUGUAAGGAUCAGAAGAGUUCCCACUGAAAUAUUAGCUUUCUUCAUUUUCUUUUCUCAAUUUAUAGGCUUAUAUGCUUGUUCAUGAUGUUGUAAUUUCAUUGAUGAGACUGGCCAUUUGUUGAGUUGUAGUUCAUGAAAGACUGCUUCGGACCAGCGAAGACUUUGUCUGGCCAAUUGAUUCUGCCUUCCACGGGCGCUUCAUCAUCGACGUAGAAUUUCUAGACUUGAAGAUUCCAGCUAUUAAUGCAAGUUUUUCCUCUCAUCAUGUUCUUCAACCAGUAAUUUUAAGCACCUUUUGUGAAAUUUAGGCUCUGAUUAGAGUAAAUUACACCAUUGAUUCUUGACUGUUUAGCUUAGCUUCAUUUCGGCCCCUGACCAUUUAAUGUAACUACCGUCCCCCCAACCUUUGCAUUUUCGUUGCAAUAUUACACUUUUGCUAAAAUCCUCCAGCACAUCGAGCACAGUUGUUCGUGUAAUCACUAUCUAAUAACUGCCAUGUAAGUGACUUGGACUUACUGAUUUGCUGAUUCCUUGAGCAUUUAAGCUUUGUAGGGUUCAAUCGUUACAAUUAGCUCCUAAACUUUGCACCUCUCAUUGGGCGAUGCCAUGGGCAUUUUCAGCAAAUCCAAAAUGCAAAGGUUAGAGAUCCAACUAUGGGAAAAUAUUGCGGACCAAUCUGAAACCUCUAAAAUGGUCGGGGGCCCUAGUGCAAUUUAUUCGUGCUUUCAAUCUCAAUUAUUUUCAUUGCAGGGUGGGGAAGCCUCUUCAAUAUGGCCAAACGAAAACAUAAUGUACUCUCUCUCAAGCAAAAGCACUCUCCAUUGCCUCUCCCGCAUGCUUCUCGAGGGUAUACACACCGACGUGACCAUAAACACUGCCGACGGCGUAUUGAAAGCCCACAAGGCCGUUCUCUCUGCCACUUCCCCCGUCUUCGCGAGCAUGUUCCUGCAUGACCUCAAAGAGAAAGAAUCCUCAACAAUAAAUAUAGAGGACAUGUCCUUCGAAUCGUGCUCCGCCCUUCUCAGCUACAUUUACGGCACCAUCAAGCACGACAUGUUUUGGAAGCACCGGCUCUCUCUUCUCGCCGCGGCGAACAAGUACGACAUCGGGGACCUCAAAGAUUGUUGCGAGGAGAGCCUUUUGGAGGACAUAAAUUCGAGCAAUGUCUUAGAGAGGCUUCACGAAGCUUGGCUUUAUCAGUUGAGUAAGUUGAAGAAGGGGUGCCUUACUUAUUUGUUCGAUUUCGGGAAGAUAUAUGAUGUGAGAGAGGAGGUCAGCAGCUUCUUUCGCCAUGCGGAUAGAGAGCUGAUGUUGGAGAUGUUUCAAGAGAUACUUACCGUCUGGAAACCGAUGUGAUGCAGAAAUCAUCUCCUGCACCGGCAUUGAAGAAGUGCAACCGCUGCAACCAAUAAUUCUCAAGAAGCCUGCAAAGUUGAAGAACACAUCAGGUUUCCGUUGUUAAAUAUAGACUGGUUUAGGCAUCUUUUGUACUAUGAAGUGAAGUGCGCGGCGCUUUGUGUAUAGCAAACAAUUCAGUUGUUUUAUGUUAAAAAUUGAAAAAUCUGCUACAUCGGUGCGCGAAGAAGAUCUUUUGUUCAUCAGGUAUGGUAGAUGGAAGCUUAGAUUCCUACUUGGAAUAUUUAACAGCUGAUAUGUCUUUCAAAGCCUGUAUUUGUUGGAAAGUAUGGCUAAUUUGUUUGGUUUCUGCUAAGACUACUGGAAUCAGAGAGAACUUAGUAAUGCUAUUUUAGUUGAUUGUAUACAUUUUUUUUCUGUCAUUGUAAUUGUUCUUCUGUUGAUUUGGUUCACCAGUUCAUAUCCCUUCAUUUGAUUGUUUUGUCCUUUAACAAUAAAAGGGCCUUUAUUUUUUUAAUUAUUUUGUCCGUUCGGUUUUAAGAAAGAUAAACUUCUAUGAAUUUUUGUUCCGUAUUUUUUUUUGAAAAUUAGUGUUUUUUGUUUUUCUAAAGAAGAAAAUCUGGAAAUUGAAAAUACUAGUUUUUUUUUAUAAAAUAUGAAAAAAAAAUUAAAAAAUGCUUAAUUUUCUUUUAAGCUAACCAGGCCAAAAAUUCGAAAAGAAGUUUUCCAUUAAAAAAAAUUUAUUGGAAAACUUUUUUUUCCACAUUUUUCUAAGGAAGGGGCUAUUUGGUUUCUCGAAAAAGUGUGAAAAAUAUUUCUAAGAAAAAUAAUUUCUAUGAAAAACCCUUCAGUCUCUGUGGUUCACUGGUUCUAAGAAAAACUAGCAUUUUUGGAAAUUUUUUUUUCCGAAUUUAACGGAAAACUAGUGUUUUCAUUUUCCAAAUUUUUUAGGAAAACGAAAACGUUAGUUUUUCAUAAAAUUUGGAAAAAAAAAAAGUUUUUCAAAAAAGCUAGUUUUUCUUUGUAUCAAAUGGGCGAAGACUGAAAAAAUUAAUUUUUAUGAAUUUAUUUGAAUUUAUUUUUGGAAAACUUCUUCCAAACUUUCUGCAUGAGCCAAACAGCUCCUAAACGAACUGGGCCAUUCACAUUCUAGAGCAGAAUGGAAAUGAGAAUCCGUUUCCUGUAAAAUAAAUAAUUAUCGAAAUUAGUGAAUCUCCUUCCAAUUAAAGAGUUUAAAAUAGAUGAACCAAAUAAGCUCUAAACUUGUUGUUGUAAGAUGCUAAAAUAAAUUUUUGGGCUAAAGAAGCUCUAAUUUGAUUUUUUUUUUAAUUUCUCUACACCAAAAAAGAGUUGGAGGGCUUUGGUGAAAAUUAUAUUAGUGCUUUUUGAGUAAAUCUAGGCCUCAUGUUUGAGAUAAAAUUGUUAUAUUAGUACUUAUAUAUAUAUAUAUAUAUAUAGAGAGAGAGAGAGAGAGAGAGAGAGAGAGAGAGAGAGAGGGGGUGGGGGGCUAUUAGAAAUACGGAGGCCUCCGUGUUCCUAAACCAUUUUCGAUGAUGUAACUUACAAAUUGAUUAUCGGCUCCGUUAAACUUGAUCUAACGUAUUUGAAAUAUUUAGAAAAUAAAUUUUAUGGUUUUUCAAGAUCAUUUACACAACGAUUGAAAAUAUUCAAAAUCAAUUGCUGAAAAUAAAAAUCUCAUAAAAAAUAGUGAUAUAACACUAAAAUUUUCAUUCAAAGAUAUUGAUCUUUCGGUAAAUAGUAUAAAAAAUUUUCUAUCAAAAUUUCAUAUGAUUUAAAUACUUCUACACUGUUAAACUUGUAAACGAUAUAUGUCAACCAUUAAAAAUUAUUGAUUUUAAACCUUUUCGAUCGCUAGGUAAAUGAUAUCGAAAAACCACAAAAUUUAUUUUCUAAAUACUUCAAAUACGUUAAAACAAAUAUAACGGAGCCGAUCAUCGAUACGAAAGUUCCAUCAUUGAAAACGGAUUAGGAGCGCAGAGACCUCCGUGCUCCUAAUAACACACAAGAUCUACUAUAUAUAUAUAUAUAUAUAUAUAUAUAUAUAUAUAGAGAGAGAGAGAGAGAGAGAGAGAGAGAGAGAGAGAGAGAGAUGAGCUGGAAUACUAUUAAUUGUAUUUGAGCUCUUUUAUUAUCGAUUUUUCAGCCAUUAGUCUACACUUUAAUCAACUCCACCCUUUAGAUUAUACUAUUCAACCAACCACCCACUCAACCCCAGGAGUACCAUCACUAAACCCUAGGACCCCGUUUGGAUUGGGUAUAAAGCUUAGUUAGUUAAUUCACGAUUAAUACGCGAAUUAUUCGCGUAUUUUUUUAAGAUACGAAUUAAACGGCGAAUUUCGUAUUUUUCCCAAAAGUUUGAAAAAAAAACGCAAUUUUUUUGUCAAAAAUCAUUAUUCGCGAAUUAAUCACAAUUCGCGAACAAUUAGCCCAAAAAAUCGGCGAUCGCGGUCGCGGACUUGCGGCCGAGGGUCGCAUCGUCGCCGCUCUUGUCGCCGAGCUUGUCCGUGUCAUCGUCGUCCUCCUCCGCCGCCCUCGCCGGCGCCGGGAGCAAGGGCCGUAGCGGCGGAUCCCACCUUCUCGCCCGAGGCCGUCUCCGAAAAUGUGGAAGAUGAACAGUAAAGACAUUGGGGCUUUUGGAGGCUGGGAUGAUGCGCGGUCCACGAGGCUAUUUCAGCCUCGUGGACCACAUGAGGGGGAGGUCCACAUGGACCUCCCUCUCAUGUAUAUAUAUAUAUAUAUAUAUAUAUAUAUAUAUUUAUACAAUUCUCGUAAAAUAAAUUUAUAAAGUAAUAAACUAACUUAAUUUUAAAGUCAAAGUGUGUUAACUUUCUCAAUCAAACAAAUGAAAGGCUUGAUAAUAAUCAAAAAUUUGAAGGGAUGGAUAAUUGAUACAUAAUGAUCCAUAGUUGAGGCAAGUUCUUAUAUUAUUACCUUUAAUUUAUUAUAAUUUUAACUUAAAUUUUUAUAAAUUAUAUAAUUUAAGUUUACGAUCAAAUUUAGUUGACUAAUUUAACGUUGAUAUGAAGUAACAUAACAUUUUAAUUAUUAUGUGUCAUCAAUCAUAAUAUAUACUAUCAUAUCAUCUUUAUAUUUGUUACAUAUUAAUGUUUAGCAACUAAAUUGAAUUUUAUAAUUUGACUGCAACUAUCAAAAAGUUCAAAACUAAAAUUAUAAUAAAUUAAAGUUUGAGAGCCCAAAUUCACACAUCUCAUUGUUUGAGGACCAAAAGUUAAAUUUAGCCAAAAAUAUCGUUUGUAAAAUGGAAAAAAAAAUGCUUUAUACCUGAAAGAUUCUAUUUUGAUUGAAUUAUACAUUUAAGCUUUAGUAAAAUUCUAUUUAGUCACUAUUAUCAAUUUAUUUUCAUUAGCCAUUUAAACUUAAUUUUAUUUAAUCAAGUACUUUGUUAAAUUUUUUCAUUUUUAAAUAAAAUAACAUAAAAAUAGUUAAUAUAAGUUAGGUCUCAUAGUUUAUAGAUGACAUGAUUGUUAAUUAUAACGCGGAAAUGAUUUGACUGUUUUAUCAUUAUUAAAUCAUCUUUUCGAAAUAAUAUAAUACAACUAAAUAAUAAUAAUUUUUAGAGAAUAUAAUAAUCAAACUUAAUAAAUUAAUUAUAUAAUUAUUAUUUAUUAUUAUUUCCUGCAUAGAAUUAGGUUGUAAUCUUUACUCAUCAUAAAAAAAAUAUUGAAAUUUAUAUUCGUUGACUAAUUAAACAGAAAGUGAAAUUUAAUGUAUUUGAUUGAAAGAAAUUAGAAUUGGCCUAAUAAAAAUAUCACUAAAAGCUCGAGAAAGACGAAGUUGCUGCUAACCAUUAAUUUCAAAAGCUCGACCAGUCUUACGCUACUUUGAACAUUAUUCCGUCAAAUCGCCUCCUGUUGCAGGGCAAGAUCGCCUCAUGCCAUUUCGAAAUAUUACCAGCCCAACCCAACUUCCGUCGUAGAGCGGAUAAUUAACUUUUGUUAAGCAAAUAAUCUUCCUCAAGCAUUUGCACAAAUUUACAGAAUGCGAGAAUUAAACCAAACCUCUGGCCUGAUAUCACUUUCUGACCAUUGGCUUUAACCAUUAAUCCCAAAAGUUCGAUUUGUUAAAAAUACACAAUAAUUCUCUUAAAGCGUUAUAAAUAUAAUACCACGAGUCUCAAUUGUAAUUUGACUCAACCAGCCUCAUACCAUUUCAAAUAUGACUCGCCAAUCCAGUCUCACCUUAUUUUGAAUGUGACUCGACACACCUUGGCCUCCGCCCAUGAGUGGGAUGCUGACCUUUUUUUUUUUUUUUUGAGAGAUAGUAGCACGCUAUCCGUUUCGUUUAUUUCAUUUAGAAAUAAACUUAGCUGUAAAUAUUAAUCUAUUAUGAUUCGAAUUGGCGUUCGGAUACCAACCACCAAGCCUUAGCCAGGGGAUGCUGACUUUUUUAAGCCAACAGACUAGUGAUACAAUUUAUCUUUACACAUAUGAAUCUCUACAAAUUUUGUGAUCAAAUAUUCAAAAAAUGUUACACACAAAAAGUCUUUUUGCAACAUUAUAACAUAAUAUAGGUCUUUUUAUAUUUUAUCUUUUUUUUCAAUUUUUAUUAUACUUUACUAUUAGAAAAUAAAAAUACUAUAAUAAGAGGCCUUAAGGCGUGCAAUGGGCUCAAAUAAUUGUUUUUUCCUCCUAUUAUAUCACGAAUUUGUUUGACAAUAAAGAGAAUAGAAAAAACUUCAAAAACCCCCCUGUUGUUUUAUAGUUCUAUCGCCUCUGUGGUUUAAAAUAUAUCAAUUGCCAUUCUGUGGUUUCUUUUUUCUCUUUUUUAUCAAUUUCAUUAUUUUUUUUUCUUAAAUCAGUAUAAAGUUAAAAUUAAAGAGUACUAAAGUGAAUAUUAAUAAAUCUAGAUGGAUAUCUAAAGUGUUUUUUAUAUAUAAUUUAAUGAAUAUUAACGAAAAAGCUACCGAAAAGAUAAAAACGAACCACAGGGAAGCAAAUUAAUACAUUUUAAACCACAAGAGCAAAGUGAGAAACGACAAAUCACAUGGGGGGUUGUUGAAGUUUUCCAAGAAUAAGAUGUGUUAACUUUUUCCUUAUUUGUCUCUUCGAAGAAGACAAGUUUGCACUAAAAUAAAUAAGGACAUGCUUCUGCAACGCAUUCAUUCAUCUAAAUUAGACAAAAAAAAAAAAUAAAAAAUUAAUCUGAAUUAUAAAUUUUUUAAAUCAGCUAUCUAAGUUUUAAAAUUUUAAUUUACAUUUAAUUGUCCUAUUUAUUUAUUUUAAAUUUAACUAACUACUUAUUUUAGAAUUAGUAUAUUUAAAAUUUGGUUAUGCUGAAAAUAAAACAAAGCAUUCAAAUCUAUAAUUGACUAAAUAUGUAAAAAUAAACAAAGCAUUCAAAUAUUUUUAGCCAAAGUACAUUUAUUACUCAAAUUACUAAAUUUAAAAUUUUCAAAUAAUGAAUAGUCAACGUAAAAUGAUCUACAGUUUAGAUAAAAUUUGUAUAUUUUACCAAAAAUACUAAGCGUAAAUAUAUAAUCCAUUAAUAUUUUUUCUCUUUUUUUAUUGACAAGUUUGUAGGGAUUCCAAACAUAAUUUUAUUAUCUAAAAGUAAAAAAAAGUGUCAGGUCAAAUACAAAAUUUUUUUACAAAAGAUUCCAACUGUUAGCACAAUAAUUAACAAGAAUCCUAAUUUAACAAUAGAAAAAAAAAAAAAAAAAAAAAAAAACAAGCAUAACCAAGCAGUACCAAUUGUGUGCUGUACUCUUUGCUAUUGAGUUUUAACCGUUCGAUAAAAAAUUAUAGGUUAGAUGAUAAGUGGUCUCUUAGCUUCGUUUGGCUCGGAAAUUAUAGAACUAGUUAUACGAGAUAGGUACAAGUAUGGAUUUUUAUAAGAUAAGAGUAUUUUUUUAUUGGAUGAAAUAUGAGUUAUAAGCUGGGAACUAGAAAAAUUGUGUUGGAUGCGUAUAUUGGGAAUAAGAGGAAUAGUUGUAGUUAUAAAUAGAAAAUAAUAAUAUUACCCCAUUAAUUGAAUUUAAAUUUUUAAAUUUUAAACUUAUCAUUUUAAAAUGAAAAUUGAAAUUUUAACUCUUUAAAUUUUAAAUUUGAAUCUAAAAAUUAAAAUGUUUAAUUUUCAAAAUUUUAAUUUUAAUAUCAAAUGUUUAAAAUUAAAAGACCAAAUUUAAAUUUAAAGAUAUAAAAUAGCAAUUUAAAAUUUAAAAGUAAAAUAAACAAAUUUAAAAUUAAAAAUUAAAACAAUAUCAAAUAAAAAAUUAAACUUUAAAAUUUAUAAUUUUAAAUUAAAAUUUAAAUUAAAAUAUAAAUUUUAAAAAUUUAAUUUAAAAUAAAUAUAUCUCUUUCUAUCUACCGGGGUGGAAUAACUUAUUCCGAAGUUUGCCCCUCGGGUAGGAACUGUUGUGCCAUCCUUACCGGUUAUACAAGUUGAUAACCGUAAGGAUGGCAACAACAUUCCCACCAUUUUUUUUUUUUUUUGUUGUUGGGUAUAAAGGGGAUAACCCCUUAUCUCCCUUUAUACCAUAGUAGUUAAAUUCGAUUCGGCAAAAUUCGGUAGUACGAUAUAAUUCGAUAAAAUUGUCUUUAAUUUUAAAACUUGAAAAAUACGGCUAAAAAACGGGUCUAAUAUAUUCGGAUACGUUAAUUUAUAGGAUAUUAUAGUUCACAAUAUAAAUUCGGCGAUAAAAAAUUCGGCCUAUAUAAUAAAUAUAUAAUAAUUAAUAUCACAUAUAUAUUUAUAUAUAUUUUAUAUAUAGAUUAAAUAUAUUCAUAUAUUAAUAAUAAAUUAUAUUUAAUAAUACAUAAAAUUAUAUAUUUAAAAAUAGUAAUAAAUAAAUUACAAUUUAUAAAUAAAAAUAUAUAUAAAUAUUUCUAUAUAAAAAUAAAAUAAUUAUAUAAUAAAUGAAUUAUAUAUUUAUAAAUAAAAUUAUAUUAUAUAUAUAUAUUUAUAUAUAAUAUAUAUAUAUAUAUAUAUAUAUAUAGUAUAUUAUAUAUAGGUUUUGCCUAGAUACUAUCAUAGUAAACGAGCCUUUUACUAACCUAAUUUGUUUCGAUGAUAGAGCUUUAAAUUGACGAUCGCGCUCGGUGAACAUGAUCUAUUACCAUUGAAGUGUUUAUAAAUCAAUUUCAAAUCUUUUCGACAUCAUUGCGAAUGAUCAAAGGUUUCAAAAUUUGAAUUUAAUGCGUCGAUAAGAGCUUUUCUGUUUAACGGCGUAAAAUAUCCAAAUCAAUUGAAUUUUGGUUAGAAAAUUCUUUAAACUAUUAAAAUAAGAUCUAUACUCUGAUUGUGAUUACAAGGCUUCCUAUCAUCAUUUUUUAAAGAAUAUUCAUUUCACAUUCAUUUUUCUGUUCACUUGAUGGAAUAAAAACAUUAUUGAAACUGCGUGAAAUUUGAUUCUAGUAGUUUAAAUAGUUUAGAUCAUAAAUUAACGGAGCCGACGCGUUAAUUUUGAAACUCUAUCAUCCAAAACAAUCGGUAGUAAAACGCUCGUUUAUAUUCGAUCAGUAUUUCUCAGUAACUCCUAAGGAAAAAAAAAAAAAAAAAACAAAACAAGCAUGUUUGGUUUCCUUUUGCAGCUAGCGAGUGGAGCACGCGCACUUAUUUUUUAUAGAAUUUCGAUAUCGGAGUUAGUAUUAUAAUAUUAUUAUUAUUUAUUUAGAGUUUUUAUAAUUUUUUGUAAAAAUUGAUAAUUAGAAACUGAUUUUUUAUAUGUUUUAGGAGCUGAUUCCGCGUGACUUUGACGAGAAACUUUUCGAGCCACUCUGAGGUGUUGUGGUUGCUGUUCAGACUAGCUAGAAGGGCAAUAGUGGAUCAUUUCGCUUUUUUGACUAUCAUUUUAUUCUUUAGAUUUGCGAUAAAGUUGGGCUCCGUGUCGUCAAAAUUGGCGGACUAACUCUUAUAUCCAUGUUAUAUUAUUUAGCAUAUAAAAUAAAUUAUAGACAUAGUUGAGAUUUGAGAUAAUAGUGAUAUUUUGAUACCUACUUAUAGAAUAUAUUGAGACAUGUAUAUUUUUCACUGUUAGUAUUAUGUAAUAUUGUCUUGGAGACAAUAGACAGCAACACAUAGUAUGAGAUCACAACUGUAUUUGAGACAUUAUAACA